rnacentral:rRNA from 1 species
UACGGGGGGGGCAAGCGUUGUUCGGAUUUACUGGGCGUAAAGGGCGCGUAGGCGGCCACCGCAAGUCGACUGUGAAAUCUCCGGGCUUAACUCGGAAAGGUCAGCCGAUACUGCGGGGCUAGAGUGCAGAAGGGGCAACUGGAAUUCUCGGUGUAGCGGUGAAAUGCGUAGAUAUCGAGAGGAACACCUGCGGCGAAGGCGGGUUGCUGGGCUGACACUGACGCUGAUUGUGCGAAAGCUAGGGGAGCGAACGGG